GAAUUUUUGGGGGGGUGGGUGGGGGGCGCCACUCACAGCCCCAGGUGCUGCUGGAGGUGGGAGCCGCGGCGCCUCCUGGACACAGGCGGGGUAGUGGUUCCGAGUCACCGCAGCGGGAGACCUGGGUGGGGGAGGGAAGAAGCCGGAGCCGCCGCAAGCCACACGAAUUUUUAUUUGUUCCCGCAAAGCUGCUGAAGCUCAGAAGCUGAUUCUAUCACAUUGUAAGAUGCCUUUGGAUAAUUCUACAGUCCUCUUAAAUGAAUCUUUAGAACUUGGCGCGUUUCACUAGAUACCUUCAAUCAUCAUUUUGAGCUCAAAGAAUUCUGAGACUUAUGGUUGGUCAUAUAGAAGAUUACCUUGAACCUAUAGUUUCCUGAGGAAUCAGUUUAAAAGAUCCAAAGAGUACAAAAGGCAGUUAUUGGAGGAAUUACUCAACAAAAAUAAAGAAGUAAACUAAAAAAGAUGAAGGCAUAGGAUACAAGUAACAGGGAAUAUGACCUAACUAGAGACCCAGGGAAUCACCAGGAUGAUGAUGAAUAAUGAUCACAAGAAGACAGCUGGUCCUCA
rnacentral:sRNA from 1 species